CACUACUACAAAAUUACACAUACAUAACACUUCAUACAUAACGGUUUUUUUUAAAAACCGUUAUGUAUGAGCGCAUUUUUUGAAAAGAUAACGGUUUUGACAAAAAACCGUUAUCUAUGUACUGUUGUCCAUGAAAAUAGAUAACGGUUUUAGUGAAUCCGUUAUGUAUGAGCGUUAUCUAUUAGUUGCAUACAUAACGGUAUUACCAAACCGUUAAGCCAACCGUUAUGUACGAGCGUUUUUUUAUAACGGUUGUUUUAACCGUUAUAUAUGAACGUCUCAAAACCGUUAUGUAUUAUAUUUAUUUUUAAAUUUAAUAAUAUUAUAAAAAUAAAACCCUAAAUCCCUCCCUUUACCCCCUGCUCUCUCUCUCUCGUCCUUCAUCUCCCCAGCUUUCUCUCUCUCUCAACUCCGGCCAUAGAAGCACGCCUUCCCUCUGUCCUCUGCGGCCGCAGCAACGAUAGCCACCAAGCUCGUCGCAUUUCCCUCGUCUCCCUCUCAAUCCCCUCUCUCUCUGACUCAACCAUAGAGCACGCACGCACACCACACCGCGCCUGAAAAUCCUAGAUCUAUAAUCUACAGCCAUCCUCCCCGUCGAUUCCUGUCGACCGCACGGCGGGAAGGCCGCCGCCGUCGUGCCCUAACUUCAAUUUCUGGCAGCGACGCCUUCGCCGGGACCUCCUGUCCCUGGUUGAACAGCAGAGCCUCUGACGCCAAAAGUAGGAACCCUAAUCGGGUCAACCCGAAACGUGACUACGGUAAAAUGGAGUCCAGAUCCGAAUGCAGCCAGAACACCAAGUGAGAACUGAAGCCGGAGCGAUGCUCUGGAUGACAUGUGUUUUUCUAAAUCUGAAGCUUGGCGAUUGCCUUACCAGGUGUUCUCUUGUGAAUUCUGAUUUUACCGCUUCCUAUUUCUUUCAUUUUUGUUCCAAUUUUUCUCGAUGCUGCUGUACUGUGUGUAAUAUGUGAAGAAAUAUUGCCAGUGUGCUCAAUUUUAGGAUUCAUUGAUGGUUUCUUGGCAUCCUGUGGUUCGAGAUUGAGACUUCAGAUUUAGUAUUGGCCUAGAUUUUUUCUACUGAUUGUGGAAUAUGGAUGAAUGUUUUCGAUUCAUAGGACUUAUGUUUGGGUAAAUGUUAGUUGUAGAUUUAUAGGCAUUUUUGAAGUGCAAAGAUUCAAUCUUGAAGAGAAUCUCAUUAAAUUCUGACUUUGAAAUCAAUAAAAUUGAUAUAGAUGAUAUAAAGAUUUGAU
rnacentral:lncRNA from 1 species